UCGGGUAUCUCAGAAACUGCUGAUCUCCUGGGAUUUUCGUACACAACCUUCUCCGGAGUUUACCAGGAAUGGUGUGGGAAACAAAAAGAAGUAACGAGUGAGCAGCAAUUCUGUGGGUGAAAAUGCCUUGUUGAUGAGGGAGGUGAGAGGAAAAUGUCCAGACUGGUUCGAGCUGACAGAGGCAGCAAGAAGUCUGAGCUCUCCAAACUUCUCAUACCACAGAUGUCACAUGGCCUCGUACCACAGAAACCAGGGAGGACUGAAAAAUUAUUUCCAGGAUCGGUAGAUUUUUUUGAAUUUAGGAUAUGUGCAUCAAGAGUGAUCUCCAAUGGGCCAUUUAUCUACUGUCCAGUGGAAAACAGAGUUGGCAAAGAAUUGGCUCCAUCCUGUCAGCUGAUGGUUCUCAACAAUAGACCUUGCAAUGAAGUGUUUUCUCUCAAGCAACCAUUUGCACUGAAGUUGCAUUAAUGCUCUCAGUGGGGUGUAUGUUCCUACUAGCUGUGUUCCAGUAAAAAUAUUUAACUUGCUUGCACCACGUCUCUUUGUGUGCUUCCAUAAUGCAGGUGCUAACCCAUUUGUUUUCGUAGUGACACGCAACACGUUUACAUAGGAAUGGUACCAGUGGGAAAAUACCUGCCUCUGGUGUUCCUCAGUAGCAGAAAUGCUGGCCUAUAAAACUAAAUUUUGUUUGAAGGUUGGACCAUCAAUCUAUCACCAUCAGGCCAAGAACUGUUCAGUUCUGCAAAAUCAAUAUACACAAUAUCACAAGGACUAAUUGGUGUUGACAGCUCAAAUACAGUACAACACCAGAAUUUCCUACUUAAAUUUCCCUACCUCUCUCUACCUUAAAUCACUGCUUAAAACCUCCUUUUUGACCAAAUUCAUGUUCAGCUAUCUGGAUAUCCUCUUACACUGUACAUUGUCACAUUCUGGGUGGCAUGGUAGAGUAACGGUCAACAUAAUGCUUCACAGUGCCAGCAAUCAGAAGAUUGGGGUUCAGUUCCCACUGCUGUCUGUACAUUCUCCCCGUGAGCACAUGGGUUUCCUCUGGGUACUCUGGUUUCCUCCC